ACAAUGCUACUCUUUUCCCUUGGUCAAGCUGGGAGGUCCAAUAUGGAAUGCAUGGACAAGGGUCAACAGAAGAUGGAUGAAGUCAAUGACUGAGGACAAUCAAGCCAAUCCCAACACAAAAGAAUAAAUGGGAACAGAUCUGACAUCAAAAAGCUCAGUAUGCAGAAACCGGAGGAAAUGAAUCCCAGCCUUAAGUGGCCAGUCUUGAACAAAGGAACUUUGAAAAGAGACACCAGUGUGAAACUACUAAGUUUGAUUCUAUCAUCUGUAGCCAGAAUCAAGAUAAUGGACUUUUAUCCCUCUACAGGUGUGAAUUAGCUUACCAGUUCCAGGAUGUUUGUGUUAUGGUCACUGCUGUGUGAAUGGUCACUGUAAUAAAGUUACACACACUUAAGCUUUAA